AAUGAACGCUGGCGGCGUGCCUAACACAUGCAAGUCGAGCGAGAAAGCUCCUUCGGGAGCGAGUAAAGCGGCGGACGGUUGAGUAACGCGUAAGAAUCUACCCUUCAGUGAAGAAUACCCUCGAGAAAUCGGGGCUAAUGCUGCAUACGUCCCUCCGGGGAGAAAGGUGGCCUCUUUGCUGCCGCUGAGGGAUGAGCUUGCGUACUAUUAGCUUGUUGGUGGGGUAAAGGCCUACCAAGGCGAUGAUGGUUAGCCGGCCUGAGAGGGUGUACGGCCAGACUGGAACUUAGACACGGUCCAG
rnacentral:rRNA from 1 species